rnacentral:ncRNA from 1 species
UAAAGAUACUUGCGUCCAGUCCUAAAGCCGAGCGUUGAAGCGAUUUUUGUGGUUGUCGUGAGCCGUCGCAGCAAAGGAGGGCGCCCUGCGGAGAUCCCGGGGGUGGUGAGAUUCCAAUGA